CCUACGGGGGGCUGCAGUGGGGAAUAUUGGUCAAUGGGCGAAAGCCUGAACCAGCAAUACCGCGUGAGUGAUGAAGGCCUUCGGGUUGUAAAGCUCUGUCAGUGGGAACGAAAAAAAUGACGGUACCCACAAAGGAAGCACCGGCUAACUCUGUGCCAGCAGCCGCGGUAAUACAGAGGGUGCAAGCGUUGUUCGAAAUUACUGGGCGUAAAGAGCGUGUAGGCGGUUAGAUAAGUCAGACGUGAAAUCCCUUGGCUCAACCAAGGAACUGCGUUUGAAACUGUUUGACUAGAGUAUCGGAGGGGAUGGCGGAAUUCCUGGUGUAGAGGUGAAAUUCGUAGAUAUCAGGAGGAACACCCGUGGCGAAGGCGGCCAUCUGGAAGAUUACUGACGCUGAGACGCGAAAGCGUGGGGAGCAAACAGGAUUAGAUACCCCGGUAGUC
rnacentral:rRNA from 1 species